GUCAGGUUGGCCGAGUGGUCUAAGGCGUGAGAUUUAAGCUCUCAUAAUCGUAAGAUUGCGUGGGUUCGAACCCCACACCUGACA
rnacentral:tRNA from 1 species